GAUUUAUUUUACCGUUCCUUUCGAAAAGUUUCCGAGUACUCUGCACAUGCUCGGUUGAAAUUAUUUGAAGAAUUUUGUGUAUACAACUUUUUUGUUUUUUGAUUAUGAUCAGUUUGUCGUCAGAAUUUGAACGGAGCACGACUGCAGUGUGUUGCAGUGAAAAGUUCAAAUGAAAAUUAAAGGAAGAUUUGGACCUUCAGUACCUUAUGCUACGCCGUUUAAAAAAUCAACGCCAUGACAAUGUAAACACUUUUACAUAUGAAAAUUUUAAACUUAUUUUUCAAACUGGCGAGGUCAACGUUUUCGUGGCACGAAAUGUACCAAAAUACAGCUGUAAAUGACAUCUAAUUUAUUAGGCUCGUUAAAGAUGCGGCAUUGGAACAUAUUCCGGAAACUAUGGGAAGUGCCAUAUAAACCCAUAUAAAACAUUUCUUCAAAUCGGCUA
rnacentral:sRNA from 1 species